rnacentral:rRNA from 1 species
GGUUUGAUCUGGCUCAGAUUGAACGCUGGCGGGAUGCUUUACACAUGCAAGUCGAACGGCAGCACGGACUUCGGUCUGGUGGCGAGUGGCGAACGGGUGAAGGUAAUGUAUCGGAACGUGCCUAGUAGCGGGGAUAACUACGCGAAAGCGUAGCUAAUACCACAUACGCCCUUCGGGGAAAGCGGGGGACCUUCGGGCCUCGCACUAUUACGGCAACCGAUAUCGGAUUAGCUAGUUGGUGGGGUAACAGCUCGCAAGGCGACGAUCCGUAGCUGGUUUGAGAGGACGACCAGCCACACUGGGACUGAGACACGGCCCAGACUCCUGCGGGAGGCAGCAGUGGGAAUUUUGGACAAUGGGGGAAACCCUGAUCCAGCCAUCCCGCGUGUGCGAUGAAGGCCUUCGGGUUGUAAAGCACUUUUGGCAGGAAAGAAACGGCGCGGGAUAAUACCCCGUGCAACUGACAGUACCUGCAGAAUAAGCACCGGCUAACUACGUGCCAGCAGCCGCGGUAAUACGUAGGGUGCAAGCGUUAAUCCGGAAUUACUGGGCGUAAAGCGUGCGCAGGCGGUUCGGAAAGAAGAUGUGAAAUCCCAGAGCUUAACUUUGGAACUGCAUUUUAACUACCGAGCUAGAGUGUGUCGAGGGAGGUGGAAUUCCGCGUGUAGCAGUGAAAUGCGUAGAUAUGCGGAGGAACACCGAUGGCGAAGGCAGCCUCCUGGGUUAACACUGACGCUCAUGCACGAAAGCGUGGGGAGCAAACGGGAUUAGAUACCCUGGUAGUCCACGCCCUAAACGAUGUCCAACUGGCUGGCCCAGGGCCUUCGGGCCUUGGUAGCGCAGCUAACGCGUGAAGUUGACCGCCUGGGGAGUACGGUCGCAAGAUUAAACUCAAAGGAAUUGACGGGGACACACAAGCGGUGGAUGAUGUGGAUUAAUUCGACGCAACGCGAAAACCUUACCUACCCUUAUUUAUGUCUGGAAUCCCGAAGAGAUUUGGGAGUGCUCGCAAGAACCGGAACACAGGUGCUGCAUGGCUGUCGUCAGCUCGUGUCGUGAGAUGUUGGGUUAAGUCCCGCAACGAGCGCAACCCUUGUCAUUAGUUGCUACGAAGGGCACUCUAAUGAGACUGCCGGUGACAAACCGGAGGAAGGUGGGGAUGACGUCAAGUCCUCAUGGCCCAUAUGGGUAGGGCUUCACACGUCAUACAAUGGUCGGGACAGAGGGUCGCCAACCCGCGAGAGGCCAAUCCCAGAGAAACCCGAUCGUAGUCCGGAUCACGCAGUCUGCAACUCGACUGCGUGAAGUCAGAAUCGCUAGUAAUCGCGGAUCAGCAUGUCGCGGUGAAUACGUUCCAGGUCUUGUACCACCGCCCGUCACACCAUGGGAGUGGGUUUUGCAGAAGUAGUUAGCCUAACCGUAAGGAGGGCGAUUACCACGGUAGGAUUCAUGACUGGGGGUGAAGUCGUAACAAGGUAA